UAAAUCCCAAGUAAGGUACCUGCCGUCGGC
rnacentral:piRNA from 1 species